GAUGAACGCUGGCGGCGUGCUUAACACAUGCGAGUCGAACGAUGAAGCCCAGCUUGCUGGGUGGUAUAGUGGCGAACGGGUGAGUAACACGGGAGUAACCUGCCCUUAACUCUGGGGUAAGCCUGGGCAACUGGGUCUAAUACCUGAUAGGAGCGUCCACCGCAUGGUGGGAGUUGGAAAGAUUUAUCGGUUGUGGAUGUACUGGCGGCCUAUCCGCUUGUUGGUGAGGGAAUGGCUCACCAAGGCAACGGCGGGUAGCCGGCCCGGGAGGGUGACCGGCCACACUGGGACUGAGACACGGACCAGUCUCCUACGGGAGGCAGCAGUGGGGAAUAUUACCCAAUGGGCGCGAGCCUGAUGCAGCGACGCCGCGUGUGGGAUGACGGCCUUCGGGUUGUAAACCUCUUUCAGUAGGGAAGAAGCGAUAGUGACGGUACCUGCAGAAGAAGCACCGGCUAACUACGUG
rnacentral:rRNA from 1 species